UACGGAGGGUGCAAGCGUUGUCCGGAAUCACUGGGCGUAAAGGGCGCGUAGGCGGCUCGGUAAGUAGGGGGGUGAAAUCCUGCGGCUUAACCGCAGGGCUGCCUUCUAAACUGUCGAGCUCGAGCACGGUAGAGGCAGAUGGAAUUCCCGGUGUAGCGGUGGAAUGCGUAGAGAUCGGGAAGAACAUCAGUGGCGAAGGCGGUCUGCUGGGCCGUUGCUGACGCUGAGGCGCGACAGCGUGGGGAGCAAACAGG
rnacentral:rRNA from 1 species